rnacentral:rRNA from 1 species
AGUGAACGCUGGCGGUAGGCCUAACACAUGCAAGUCGAACGGCAGCACAGUAAGAGCUUGCUCUUACGGGUGGCGAGUGGCGGACGGGUGAGGCAUACAUCGGACUCUACUUUUUCGUGGGGGAUAACGUAGGGAAACUUACGCUAAUACCGCAUACGACCUACGGGUGAAAGCAGGGGAUCUUCGGACCUUGCGCGAUUGAAUGAGCCGAUGUCGGAUUAGCUAGUUGGCGGGGUAAAGGCCCACCAAGGCGACGAUCCGUAGCUGGUCUGAGAGGAUGAGCAGCCACACUGGAACUGAGACACGGUCCAGACUCCUACGGGAGGAAGCAGUGGGGAAUAUUGGACAAUGGGCGCAAGCCUGAUCCAGCCAUACCGCGUGGGUGAAGAAGGCCUUCGGGUUGUAAAGCCCUGUUGUUGGGAAAGAAAAGCAGCAGGUUAAUACCCCGCUGUUCUGACGGUACCCAAAGAAUAAGCACCGGCUAACUUCGUG